GAUGAACGCUAGCGGCAGGCUUAACACAUGCAAGUCGAGGGGUAACAGGGGAAAGCUUGCUUUUUUGCUGACGACCGGCGCACGGGUGAGUAACGCGUAUAGAACCUACCUUUUACAGGGGAAUAGCCCAGAGAAAUUUGGAUUAAUACCCUAUAGUAUUAUUGAGUGGCAUCAUUUAAUAAUUAAACAUUUAUGGGUAAAAGAUGGCUAUGCGUUCUAUUAGCUAGAUGGUAAGGUAACGGCUUACCAUGGCAACGAUAGAUAGGGGUCCUGAGAGGGAGAUCCCCCACACUGGUACUGAGACACGGACCAGACUCCUACGGGAGGCAGCAGUGAGGAAUAUUGGACAAUGGAGGCAACUCUGAUCCAGCCAUGCCGCGUGCAGGAAGACGGCCCUAUGGGUUGUAAACUGCUUUUAUACGGGAAGAAACCCAACUACGUGUAGUUGGCUGACGGUACCGUAAGAAUAAGCACCGGCUAACUCCGUGCCAGCAGCCGCGGUAAUACGGAGGGUGCAAGCGUUAUCCGGAAUCAUUGGGUUUAAAGGGUCCGUAGGCGGGCUAAUAAGUCAGGGGUGAAAUCCAACAGCUUAACUGUUGAACUGCCUUUGAUACUGUUAGUCUUGAAUUAUAUGGAAGUAGAUAGAAUGUGUAGUGUAGCGGUGAAAUGCUUAGAGAUUACACAGAAUACCGAU
rnacentral:rRNA from 1 species